rnacentral:tRNA from 1 species
GGCAAGAUGGCCGAGCGGUCCAAGGCGCUAGGGUCAGGUAUCUGAUCAUACAUGUUCUCACGAACAUUCCUAGUCAUUAAUUUGGCGUGGGUUCGAAUCCCACUCUUGUCA